rnacentral:rRNA from 1 species
UAAAGGAAGCGAUUCCGGCUACGGAUGGUCAUGCGUCGCAUUAGCUAGUUGGCGGGGUAACGGCCCACCAAGGCGACGAUGCGUAGGGGUUCUGAGAGGAAGGUCCCCCACACUGGUACUGAGACACGGACCAGACUCCUACGGGAGGCAGCAGUGAGGAAUAUUGGUCAAUGGCCGCAGGGCUGAACCAGCCAAGUCGCGUGAGGGAUGACGGUCCUAUGGAUUGUAAACCUCUUUUGUCAGGGAGCAAAGGACGCCACGUGUGGCGUUUUGCGAGUACCUGAAGAAAAAGCAUCGGCUAACUCCGUGCCAGCAGCCGCGGUAAUACGGAGGAUGCGAGCGUUAUCCGGAUUUAUUGGGUUUAAAGGGUGCGCAGGCGGAAUGUCAAGUCAGCGGUAAAAUUUCGGGGCUCAACCCCGUCGUGCCGUUGAAACUGGUGUUCUUGAGUGAGCGAGAAGUAUGCGGAAUGCGUGGUGUAGCGGUGAAAUGCAUAGAUAUCACGCAGAACUCCGAUUGCGAAGGCAGCAUACCGGCGCUCAACUGACGCUCAUGCACGAAAGCGUGGGUAUCGAACAGGAUUAGAUACCCUGGUAGUCCACGCAGUAAACGAUGAAUACUAACUGUCCGGGCCGAUUGAGGUCUGG